rnacentral:misc_RNA from 1 species
AUGGCCUCCGACGCCGCCGCCGAGCCCUCCUCCGGCGUCACCCACCCCCCGCGCUACGUCAUCGGUUACGCGCUCGCGCCGAAGAAGCAGCAGAGCUUCAUCCAGCCGUCGCUGGUGGCCCAGGCGGCGUCGCGGGGCAUGGACCUCGUCCCCGUGGAUGCGUCGCAGCCCCUGGCAGAGCAAGGGCCCUUCCACCUCCUCAUCCACAAGCUCUACGGAGACGACUGGCGCGCCCAGCUCGUGGCCUUCGCCGCGCGCCACCCGGCCGUCCCCAUCGUCGACCCGCCCCUCGCCAUCGACCGCCUCCACAACCGCAUCUCCAUGCUCCAGGUCGUCUCCGAGCUCGACCACGCCGCCGACCAGGACAGCACUUUCGGUAUCCCCAGCCAGGUCGUCGUCUACGACGCUGCCGCGCUUGCCGACUUCGGACUCCUUGCCGCGCUCCGCUUCCCGCUCAUCGCCAAGCCCCUCGUCGCCGACGGCACCGCCAAGUCCCACAAGAUGUCGCUCGUCUACCACCGCGAGGGCCUCGGCAAGCUCCGCCCGCCGCUUGUGCUCCAGGAAUUCGUCAACCAUGGCGGCGUCAUCUUCAAGGUCUACGUCGUCGGCGGCCACGUCACUUGCGUCAAGCGCCGUAGCCUGCCCGACGUGUCCCCCGAGGAUGACGCAUCGGCCCAGGGAUCCGUCUCCUUCUCCCAGGUCUCCAACCUCCCCACUGAGCGCACGGCGGAGGAGUACUACGGCGAAAAGAGUCUCGAGGACGCCGUCGUGCCGCCCGCCGCAUUCAUCAACCAGAUCGCGGGCGGCCUCCGCCGCGCGCUGGGCCUGCAACUCUUCAACUUCGACAUGAUCCGCGACGUCCGCGCCGGCGACCGCUAUCUCGUCAUUGACAUCAACUACUUCCCGGGCUACGCCAAGAUGCCAGGAUACGAGACUGUCCUCACGGAUUUCUUCUGGGAGAUGGUCCAUAAGGACGGCGUGGGCAACCAACAGGAGGAGAAAGGGGCCAACCAUGUUGUCGUGAAAUAA